rnacentral:lncRNA from 1 species
ACCAUUUGACAGGAAUGCUCUGGAAGGGAUUCCUGGACUUGGCAGGAGAAUAAACCAGAAUCUAAUCAAAAGGUUUAGUAAAAAUGCUUUCCGAGUGCUAGAGACCAAUGGUCUUUGUCCAGCGACCCCCUCAGAUGGCUGUGAAUCACUGAAGACUCAGACUAAGCACCAGUGGGAUGGGUUGAGAUCAGCCUCUGUCUCUGGCCUCCUUGAGACUCAGCUCUUAAAUCUAAACGAACUGCCUGAUUGUGAGAGGCAGCAAGUCCCAUUCUCAGUGGUGAGUGACCCAUCUCCCCAUAGGCAUUUUUGUCCAAUGUUAGAUAUUUUCCAGUGGGUUCUUUGCACAUUGUCAAGCAAUACCUUUCUGCAUAAAGAGCAAGAUAUAUUCCACUCCUGGAGUUGGAAUCUUGAAUCAGUUAAUCCACAAAGUAGCUAAUUUACAGACACAUAGUCCCCAAGAUAGACUAGACUAGUCCAAGAUGAUGUAUGAGGCAGAAAGAGAGUCCAAAAGACACAUUUUCUUAUCCAGCUCUAAAGGACUGAAGUCUGUUAAUCAAUGAAUGAAGUUAUAUUGCCAUGCAAGGGCCACCUUAUUCGUUUCUUUAGCCUUCUGUAAGCCCAACUGUUUUAUUUUAGAGCUGAGAAACCAGAGGCCUGGAAAGACUAUGUGUUGUCCGACCUCACACUCUGAGUUGGGGUCUGCACAAGAAUGACAUCUUGUCUUGCUAACUGAGCUCUUCCCAGCUGUCUCCUAUCACAUUCCCUGUCACCUCCAGCCCCACCUGGCAGGCUGCUAUCUUUUCAGCAAAGGCUGAACGAGGCUGUGCUCACACCCCCUGUGAGAGGUGUCUGUGAUGCUCAUGUGUCGGGGAAGCUCUCACAGAAGUUCCUGCUUAUGCCAAAAACACCUUGGGAAUAAAGAAAGGUCCCCGUUCCAACACCUUCCUCUCAUACGAAGUAUGCAUGUGAGAAAAAGAAAAGAAAGAGAUUAAAAAUAAAACUCACAGACAUAGGAAUUCUCUGCUAUUGAGAGAAAUUCCUUAACACACAUUACUCAGGUAAUAAUUUCUUUGACUCCAUGGAAAAUUUUUAGCGCUAGAAAUAGGGCCUAAGAAAGCAAGUAGUCCAAAUCCUGUUAUUUACAAGUGGGCAAACUGGAGAUCAGAGUGAAGUGAGUUUGGUCAACCCGGUGAAUUUUUUGCUGAAUCAGAACACUGUUUCUUUCACAGGGGCUUUCUUGAGGUGGUGAGGGUUUGCAUGGAUGACAUAGAUUAAGUGACUAAAGAAGACUAAUGCAUCAUUCUUUUGAAUUCCAGCAAAGAAAUUGAGCUGCUUUCAUUAAAGCCUUUCUUUGAGGCCACUGGGUGAAAGGUUGGGGCUUGGACCAGGUAUGAUGGCUCACGGCUGUAAUCCCAGCACUUUGGGAGGCUGAGGCAGGCAGAUCACUUGGGGUCAGGAGUUCAAGACCAGCCUGGCCAACAUGGCAAAAACCUGUCUCUAACAAAAAUACAAAAAUUAGCCAGGCAUGGUGGUAUGCGCCUGUAGUCCCAGCUACUAGGGAGGCUGAGGCAGGAGAAUCACUUGAACCUGGGAGGCAGAGGUUGCAGUAAGCUGAGACUGUACCACUGCACUCCAGGCUGGGCAACAGAGUGAGACUCCAACUCAAAAAAAAAAAAAAAA